UCUGGUGCUUGCACUAGAAAAACUUAGCGGCGAACGGGUGAGUAACACGUAAAGAACCUGCCUCAUAGACUGGGACAACUAUUGGAAACGAUAGCUAAUACCGGAUAACAGUAUUUCUCGCAUGGGAGAUAUUUAAAAGUUGGUUAUGCUAACACUAUGAGAUGGCUUUGCGGUGCAUUAGCUAGUUGGUGGGGUAAAGGCCCACCAAGGCGACGAUGCAUAGCCGACCUGAGAGGGUGAUCGGCCACACUGGGACUGAGACACGGCCCAGACUCCUACGGGAGGCAGCAGUAGGGAAUCUUCCGCAAUGGGCGAAAGCCUGACGGAGCAACGCCGCGUGAGUGAAGAAGGAUUUCGGUUCGUAAAGCUCUGUUGUUAGGGAAGAAUGGAUAUGUAGUAACUAUACAUAUAAGAGA
rnacentral:rRNA from 1 species